GCAGUCGAACGAUGAUCUCCAGCUUGCUGGGGGGAUUAGUGGCGAACGGGUGAGUAACACGUGAGUAACCUGCCCUUAACUCUGGGAUAAGCCUGGGAAACUGGGUCUAAUACCGGAUAUGACUCCUCAUCGCAUGGUGGGGGGUGGAAAGCUUUUUGUGGUUUUGGAUGGACUCGCGGCCUAUCAGCUUGUUGGUGAGGUAAUGGCUUACCAAGGCGACGACGGGUAGCCGGCCUGAGAGGGUGACCGGCCACACUGGGACUGAGACACGGCCCAGACUCCUACGGGAGGCAGCAGUGGGGAAUAUUGCACAAUGGGCGCAAGCCUGAUGCAGCGACGCCGCGUGAGGGAUGACGGCCUUCGGGUUGUAAACCUCUUUCAGUAGGGAAGAAGCGAAAGUGACGGUACCUGCAGAAGAAGCGCCGGCUAACUACGUGCCAGCAGCCGCGGUAAUACGUAGGGCGCAAGCGUUAUCCGGAAUUAUUGGGCGUAAAGAGCUCGUAGGCGGUUUGUCGCGUCUGCCGUGAAAGUCCGGGGCUCAACUCCGGAUCUGCGGUGGGUACGGGCAGACUAGAGUGAUGUAGGGGAGACUGGAAUUCCUGGUGUAGCGGUGAAAUGCGCAGAUAUCAGGAGGAACACCGAUGGC
rnacentral:rRNA from 1 species